GGAAGAGAAAGAAAAUUCGAUUCCCUUAGUAGCGGCGAGCGAAACGGGAAGAGCCCAAACCAACAAGCUUGCUUGUUGGGGUUGUAGGACACUCUGUACGGAGUUACAAAGGACGACAUUAGACGAAUCAUCUGGAAAGAUGAAUCAAAGAAGGUAAUAAUCCUGUAGUCGAAAAUGUUGUCUCUCUUGAGUGGAUCCUGAGUACGACGGAGCACGUGAAAUUCCGUCGGAAUCUGGGAGAACCAUCUCCUAAGGCUAAAUACUCUCUAGUGACCGAUAGUGAACCAGUACCGUGAGGGAAAGGUGAAAAGCACCCCGGAAGGGGAGUGAAAUAGAACCUGAAACCGUGUGCUUACAAGUAGUCAGAGCCCGUUAAUGGGUGAUGGCGUGCCUUUUGUAGAAUGAACCGGCGAGUUACGAUUUGAUGCAAGGUUAAGCAGUAAAUGUGGAGCCGUAGCGAAAGCGAGUCUGAAUAGGGCGUUUAGUAUUUGGUCGUAGACCCGAAACCAGGUGAUCUACCCUUGGUCAGGUUGAAGUUCAGGUAACACUGAAUGGAGGACCGAACCGACUUACGUUGAAAAGUGAGCGGAUGAACUGAGGGUAGCGGAGAAAUUCCAAUCGAACCUGGAGAUAGCUGGUUCUCUCCGAAAUAGCUUUAGGGCUAGCCUCAAGUGAUGAUUAUUGGAGGUAGAGCACUGUUUGGACGAGGGGCCCCUCUCGGGUUACCGAAUUCAGACAAACUCCGAAUGCCAAUUAAUUUAACUUGGGAGUCAGAACAUGGGUGAUAAGGUCCGUGUUCGAAAGGGAAACAGCCCAGACCACCAGCUAAGGUCCCAAAAUAUAUGUUAAGUGGAAAAGGAUGUGGCGUUGCCCAGACAACUAGGAUGUUGGCUUAGAAGCAGCCAUCAUUUAAAGAGUGCGUAAUAGCUCACUAGUCGAGUGACACUGCGCCGAAAAUGUACCGGGGCUAAACAUAUUACCGAAGCUGUGGAUUGUCCUUUGGACAAUGGUAGGAGAGCGUUCUAAGGGCGUUGAAGCAUGAUCGUAAGGACAUGUGGAGCGCUUAGAAGUGAGAAUGCCGGUGUGAGUAGCGAAAGACGGGUGAGAAUCCCGUCCACCGAUUGACUAAGGUUUCCAGAGGAAGGCUCGUCCGCUCUGGGUUAGUCGGGUCCUAAGCUGAGGCCGACAGGCGUAGGCGAUGGAUAACAGGUUGAUAUUCCUGUACCACCUAUAAUCGUUUUAAUCGAUGGGGGGACGCAGUAGGAUAGGCGAAGCGUGCGAUUGGAUUGCACGUCUAAGCAGUAAGGCUGAGUAUUAGGCAAAUCCGGUACUCGUUAAGGCUGAGCUGUGAUGGGGAGAAGACAUUGAGUCUUCGAGUCGUUGAUUUCACACUGCCGAGAAAAGCCUCUAGAUAGAAAAUAGGUGCCCGUACCGCAAACCGACACAGGUAGUCAAGAUGAGAAUUCUAAGGUGAGCGAGCGAACUCUCGUUAAGGAACUCGGCAAAAUGACCCCGUAACUUCGGGAGAAGGGGUGCUCUUUAGGGUUAACGCCCAGAAGAGCCGCAGUGAAUAGGCCCAAGCGACUGUUUAUCAAAAACACAGGUCUCUGCUAAACCGUAAGGUGAUGUAUAGGGGCUGACGCCUGCCCGGUGCUGGAAGGUUAAGAGGAGUGGUUAGCUUCUGCGAAGCUACGAAUCGAAGCCCCAGUAAACGGCGGCCGUAACUAUAACGGUCCUAAGGUAGCGAAAUUCCUUGUCGGGUAAGUUCCGACCCGCACGAAAGGCGUAACGAUUUGGGCACUGUCUCAACGAGAGACUCGGUGAAAUCAUAGUACCUGUGAAGAUGCAGGUUACCCGCGACAGGACGGAAAGACCCCGUGGAGCUUUACUGUAGCCUGAUAUUGAAAUUCGGCACAGCUUGUACAGGAUAGGUAGGAGCCUUUGAAACGUGAGCGCUAGCUUACGUGGAGGCGCUGGUGGGAUACUACCCUAGCUGUGUUGGCUUUCUAACCCGCACCACUUAUCGUGGUGGGAGACAGUGUCAGGCGGGCAGUUUGACUGGGGCGGUCGCCUCCUAAAAGGUAACGGAGGCGCUCAAAGGUUCCCUCAGAAUGGUUGGAAAUCAUUCAUAGAGUGUAAAGGCAUAAGGGAGCUUGACUGCGAGACCUACAAGUCGAGCAGGGUCGAAAGACGGACUUAGUGAUCCGGUGGUUCCGCAUGGAAGGGCCAUCGCUCAACGGAUAAAAGCUACCCCGGGGAUAACAGGCUUAUCUCCCCCAAGAGUUCACAUCGACGGGGAGGUUUGGCACCUCGAUGUCGGCUCAUCGCAUCCUGGGGCUGUAGUCGGUCCCAAGGGUUGGGCUGUUCGCCCAUUAAAGCGGUACGCGAGCUGGGUUCAGAACGUCGUGAGACAGUUCGGUCCCUAUCCGUCGUGGGCGUAGGAAAUUUGAGAGGAGCUGUCCUUAGUACGAGAGGACCGGGAUGGACAUACCUCUGGUGUACCAGUUGUCGUGCCAACGGCAUAGCUGGGUAGCUAUGUGUGGACGGGAUAAGUGCUGAAAGCAUCUAAGCAUGAAGCCCCCCUCAAGAUGAGAUUUCCCAACUUCGGUUAUAAGAUCCCUCAAAGAUGAUGAGGUUAAUAGGUUCGAGGUGGAAGCAUGGUGACAUGUGGAGCUGACGAAUACUAAUCGAUCGAAGACUUAAUCAA
rnacentral:rRNA from 1 species